rnacentral:lncRNA from 1 species
AUGGACGGCGAGUUUGACAGAGAAAUAGAUGAUGACGGGUGGGGACCGAUUACGGGACUUAGGACUGUCGAGGAGCAGGUGUUGGCUCUCAAUAAAGUGAUAGAUCGAACACACGAACCCCGGUCAGCGGCAGAAGAAAAAUCUAAGCUAAAAGCAGCAGUGAUAAAAUUGAUGCAGGAGAAAAAGAGAAGCAUGCAAGGUCAAGGUAACUUAAAGGCUGAGUUUUGGAAAAAAGAAGAGGAAGCCAAGCAAAGGGAGGAGAAAGAGAUAGAGGAAGGGAAAACAUGCGGACUCAUAAAUAAGGGAAAGCAUAAGAAAGCACAGGCAAAAGCCAGUGAGGAGAGAGCUCAAUGGAGCAAAUGGGCUAUGUGGUGGCAGGGAGUAAAACACCUCAUGACUGAAGAGUCCAAAAAACAAAAAAUAGACAACCCCCCUGUUCCAAAUCCCCCACCGUACUCGACUGCAUGUCCAAGUGCUCCGCUUACUAAACCUACACCGGGUAUAUAUCCCUCACUGCAGAUAACAUCAGGGAAAAUCUAUAUAGAUAACGCCCAAGAUAGUGACUGGACAGAAUCACGUAGCAGUAUAAGCGUUACGGCAGCUUCAGAAAUAACAUCUCACGCACCGCUUCCCACACCCCAAAGGCAGGACACUGCUCAGAAGCAGACAAAUCAUAUUGAGCCAGAGCCGUUUUUAUUAAGGGGACAGAGAGACGGAACAAAUCAGGAAGUGCAGUUAGGCCUUUCUGAGGCGGAUUUGAUAAAAUGGAUGUGGCCGAAAGAAAAGGAGGGAGCAAAGACACCAGAAGGGGCCUGCGGGCCCGAUAUAGAUAGGUGGGUGCAGGGAGCACAGGGAGGAAAAGACAAAUCAGAAGAAAGAAAGAGACUACUUAGAGAAAAAUUGACACAGAUACAAUUGCAGGAGGAAAAAGAAAAAAUAGUCGAAGACAAAAUUGCCCGAUUCCUACAUGAAAGGGAAGACAGAGAAGGGGAGAUUGAAAUGUCAGCAAAAGGCAGGUGGGAAUCAGGACCCUAUAGGGACGAGGAAGCUGAGGUGGCAAUGCAUGCGAGGGGAGUAUGGGGCGAAGAUAACGACGGAAAAGCGUUAGAACAGCUAGAACAAGAGAUCGAAGAGUCACACCGGGUUAUGAAGGAACUGACCGAAAAGGCCCGCAUGCAAACUAGGUCUCAGACAGGACAUUCAUCUAGACCACCUAUCCGAUAUCAACUCCCACUGAUACAGGCAGGUUCGAGCAAUACUAUGCAGUACCGUCCAUUCCCCAUAGGUGAUGUCCAAGCCUUAGUGGAUAAACUACCCCCCGUGGCAGAAGGAGGGUCCUUAUGGUUGAGUCAGCUAGAUAAAUUGACAGCUGGCCAAAAGCUCGCGUUAGGAGAUUUCAGGGCAGUAAUAAGUAGAUGCCUUACAGGGUCCGAUGUACGGGACCUUGAGGAAGAUGCAGGCACAAAUAAAGACAGAGAUGAUAUCCCUUUUACUACUGUUAGCACAAAAAUGGGUCAGGCCAUGAGGGUUAAAUAUCCUCUUCCUAGUGCCGCUGCAGUACCAAAGCUAAAAUGGGACACAAAACAAAGCCCGCGUGAGUAUUUAGACCAUAGUAAGGACAUGUGGAUCAAACAAACCGGGUGCCACCCCGGAAAAGAAGGCGUACAGAGAGAGUGGUAUAGGGCGGCCGUCUCAAAGGGUGUUCCAGAGGAGGCGAGAAAA